rnacentral:rRNA from 1 species
UGGGGGAUAUUGCACAAUGGGCGAAAGCCUGAUGCAGCGACGCCGCGUGGGGGAUGAAGGCCUUCGGGUUGUAAACUUUUUUUGCUCUGAACAAGGCGCACCAUGGGGUGUGUUGAGUGUAGGGGUUGAUUAGCGCCGGCUAACUACGUGCCAGCAGCCGCGGUAAUACGUAGGGCGCGAGCGUUGUCCGGAAUUAUUGGGCGUAAAGGGCUUGUAGGUGGCUGGUUGCGUCUGUCGUGAAAGCUCAUGGCUUAACUGUGGGUUUGCGGUGGGUACGGGCUGGCUUGAGUGCAGUAGGGGAGGCUGGAAUUCCUGGUGUAGCGGUGGAAUGCGCAGAUAUCAGGAGGAAUACCGGUGGCGAAGGCGGGUCUCUGGGCUGUUACUGACACUGAGGAGCGAAAGCAUGGGGAGCGAACAGG